AUUGAACGCUGGCGGCAGGCCUAACACAUGCAAGUCGAGCGGAGCGGCGGAAGGGUGAGUAAUGCCUAGGGAUAGGCCUGGUAGUGGGGGAUAACGUCCGGAAACGGGCGCUAAUACCGAAUACUAUCAGAUGAGCCUAGGUCGGAUUGGCUAGUUGGUGGGGUAAAGGCAUACAUAGGCGACGAUCCGUAACUGGUCUGAGAGGAUGAUCCGUCACACUGGAACUCAGACACGGUCCUAACUCCUACGGGAGACAGCAGUGGGGACUAUUGGACAAUGGGCGAAGGCCUGAUCCAGCCAUGCCGCGUGUGUGAGUAAGGUCUUCGGAUUGUAAGGCACUUUUAGUUGGGAGGCGUUACCAACCGAAUAAGCACCGGCUAACUUCGUGCCAGCAGCCGCGGUAAUAC
rnacentral:rRNA from 1 species